UACGAGAGGUGCAAGCGUUAUUCGGAAUUAUUGGGCGUAAAGAGUGCGUAGGCGGUAUGAUAAGUCUGUUGUUAAAUCUCCUGGCUCAACCAGGAAAAUGCAAUGGAAACUAUUGUUCUAGAGGGUGAGAGAGAGAAGUGGAAUUCCAGGAGUUAGCGGUCAAAUGCGUAGAUCUCUGGAGGAACACCGAUGGCGAAGGCAGCUUCUUGGCUCAUUUCUGACGCUGAGGCACGAAAGCGUGGGGA
rnacentral:rRNA from 1 species